AGAAUCAACGCUGGCGGCGUGCCUAACACAUGCAAGUCGCACGAGAAAGGGUAGCAAUACCUGAGUACAGUGGCGCACGGGUGAGUAACACGUGAAUAAUCUACCUCCGAGUGGGGAAUAACCUAGGGAAACCUGGGCUAAUACCGCAUAACACUUACGAGUCAAAGCAGCAAUGCGCUUGGAGAGGAGUUCGCGGCAGAUUAGCUAGUUGGUGGGGUAAUGGCCCACCAAGGCGAUGAUCUGUAUCCGGCCUGAGAGGGCGCACGGACACACUGGAACUGAAACACGGUCCAGACUCCUACGGAGGCAGCAGUGGGGAAUUUUGCGCAAUGGGGGAAACCCUGACGCAGCAACGCCGCGUGGAGGAUGAAAUCCCUUGGGAUGUAAACUCCUUUCGAUCGGGACGAUUAUGACGGUACCGGAAGAAGAAGCCCCGGCUAACUACGUGCCAGCAGCCGC
rnacentral:rRNA from 1 species